rnacentral:rRNA from 1 species
GAUUUCGUCUCGUUGGUGACCAGCGGAGGGAUCAUUACCGAGUUUACAACUCCCAAACCCCUGUGAACAUACCACUUGUUGCCUCGGCGGAUCAGCCCGCUCCCGGUAAAACGGGACGGCCCGCCAGAGGACCCCUAAACUCUGUUUCUAUAUGUAACUUCUGAGUAAAACCAUAAAUAAAUCAAAACUUUCAACAACGGAUCUCUUGGUUCUGGCAUCGAUGAAGAACGCAGCAAAAUGCGAUAAGUAAUGUGAAUUGCAGAAUUCAGUGAAUCAUCGAAUCUUUGAACGCACAUUGCGCCCGCCAGUAUUCUGGCGGGCAUGCCUGUUCGAGCGUCAUUUCAACCCUCAAGCACAGCUUGGUGUUGGGACUCGCGUUAAUUCGCGUUCCUCAAAUUGAUUGGCGGUCACGUCGAGCUUCCAUAGCGUAGUAGUAAAACCCUCGUUACUGGUAAUCGUCGCGGCCACGCCGUUAAACCCCAACUUCUGAAUGUUGACCUCGGAUCAGGUAGGAAUACCCGCUGAACUUAAGCAUAUCA